rnacentral:rRNA from 1 species
CAAUAGCGUAUAUUAAAGUUGUUGCAGUUAAAAAGCUCGUAGUUGGAUUUGUGGCGUACGGUGUGUUCCGGGCACUUGUUGUCUGAGUAACCUGCUGUUGCCAUCCUUGGGUGGAACCUGUGUGGCACUAGGUUGUCGUGCAGGGGAUGCCCAUCAUUUACUGUGAAAAAAUUAGAGUGUUCAAAGCAGGCUUAUGCCGUUGAAUAUAUUAGCAUGGAAUAAUGAGAUAGGACUUUUUUGCUAUUUUGUUGGUUUGCGCAAAGAGGUAAUGAUUAAUAGGGACAGUUGGGGGUAUUCGUAUUCCAUUGUCAGAGGUGAAAUUCUUGGAUUUUUGGAAGACGAACUACUGCGAAAGCAUUUACCAAGGAUGUUUUCAUUAA